rnacentral:rRNA from 1 species
GAUGAACGCUGGCGGCGUGCCUAAUACAUGCCAGUCGAGCGAACGGACGAGAAGCUUGCUUCUCUGAUGUUAGCGGCGGACGGGUGAGUAACACGUGGAUAACCUACCUAUAAGACUGGGAUAACUUCGGGAAACCGGAGCUAAUACCGUAUAAUAUUUUGAACCGCAUGGUUCAAAAGUGAAAGACGGUCUUGCUGUCACUUAUAGAUGGAUCCGCGCUGCAUUAGCUAGUUGGUAAGGUAACGGCUUACCAAGGCAACGAUGCAUAGCCGACCUGAGAGGGUGAUCGGCCACACUGGAACUGAGACACGGUCCAGACUCCUACGGGAGGCAGCAGUAGGGAAUCUUCCGCAAUGGGCGAAAGCCUGACGGAGCAACGCCGCGUGAGUGAUGAAGGUCUUCGGAUCGUAAAACUCUGUUAUUAGGGAAGAACAUAUGUGUAAGUAACUGUGCACAUCUUGACGGUACCUAAUCAGAAAGCCACGGCUAACUACGUG